UCUGUGAUGCCCUUAGAUGUUCUGGGCUGCACGCGCGCUACACUGACAAAGUCAGCGAGUAUUACCUUGGCCGAGAGGUCCGGGAAAUCUUGUGAAACUUUGUCGUGCUGGGGAUAGAUCAUUGCAAUUAUUGGUCUUGAACGAGGAAUUCCUAGUAAGCGCAUGUCAUCAGCAUGCGUUGAUUACGUCCCUGCCCUUUGUACACACCGC
rnacentral:rRNA from 1 species